rnacentral:lncRNA from 1 species
CCCGGUGAGGAGUUGUGGACGGCUGGCGAUGGUCGGCGUCCUGCGAGGCAGAGGGAGGCCUAAGAGGUAUUGGGGAGAGGUGAUUAGGCAUGACAUGGCUAGAAUGCGGGUUUCCGAGGACAUGGCCCUUGAUAGGAAAGUCUGGAGGUGUAGUAUUAGGGUUGUAGGAUAGGGGCCCCUAGAGUUUUUCGUACUACUCACCGAGGGUUGGGUGAGGCUUGGCAGGGCUAUCCAUAGAUGAUUUGUGUUUUGGAUUGUGUCUCUCUUAUGGUAGUUAUUUA